UACGUAGGGUGCAAGCGUUGUCCGAAUUAUUGGGCGUAAAGAGCUCGUAGGCGGUUCGUCGCGUCGGCUGUGAAAACCCGGAGCUCAACUCCGGGCCUGCAGUCGAUACGGGCGGACUCGAGUUCGGCAGGGGAGACUGGAAUUCCUGGUGUAGCGGUGAAAUGCGCAGGAUAUCAGGAGGAACACCGGUGGCGAAAGGGCGGGG
rnacentral:rRNA from 1 species